rnacentral:lncRNA from 1 species
CGAAAAUAUAUUGGAAGUGUGGAAACUUAUGGAAGCAUCACAGGGUAUAGGUCAGGAGGAGAGGGAAGCCGCUGAAGACAUAAUGGAAGGGAAGGAAUCAUCACAAGAUGAAGGUGAAGAGGAGAGGGAAGCUGCUACAGACAUAAUGGAAGGGAUGACAUCAUCAAAAGAUAAAAGUCAAGAAGAGAGGGAAGUUGCUGCAGACAUAAUGGAACGGAAAGAAUCAUCACAAGAUGAAGGUCAAGAGAAGAGGGAAGUGGCACUGCGUAAACGCAAUGAGAAACAAGGUCAAGACCUUGUGGAAGCAUUAGAAGACAUUACGGAACCAUCAACAUUUUACGGAUAAGAAAAGCAAGCGGUAUGAAGAGGAGAAGCAUCAGAAGACAAAGAUCACUUGUAAGCAUCAAGAAAAAAAAAAAAAAAAAAAAAAGAAACGAGCGUUAUGAAGAGUCACCUUUAUCAUUUCCCUUUUAUCCUUCUCUCUUUCCUUGAAGAUAAUAUGAGUAUGAAGCUUACUAGUACCCAAAAACUCCACCUAUUCUUCUGUUUCCUGAAACUGUAAAGCUUGUAAACUUUAGAAACAUGCGAUAAAUUAUUAUUUUUGAGCACUGCAAAACACUGAAAUAGAGGAACAGAAACCAGCACGGAAAAGAAAAUUCUGCUUUUGAUGCAACUGGAUAAUGAUACAGGAAAAGUGCAAGAUCGUGCCAACUUACAAAACCAUCUUCGAGUGCCAUCAAAUCCAAAUCAUAAUCCAUCACUUCUUACUCUUUAUCCAGAAGCUGCACAGUAAUAUAUGUACCAAGAUUCUCAGAAGUGCCCCCAAAAACAAAAUCUAAAGAAGCAAACAUGUUAAAGUUAAACAGAAGACGAAAACGAAAGAAAAAAAACCUUGUUAAACAGAAUGUAAACAGCUCGAUUUUCUUCAUUCUCUUGUGACAUUCUGCAAAUUGGUAAAGCUUAAUUGAUUUAUCCACAAAGAUUGAAGUUUUAAGGUCGAGUCUCGACCUAAUCGAAUAGUUCUGAUCUCCUCUCCUCUGUGUGAAGGUGUUUUGAUUGGAGCACAGAUCAUAUGAAUCUCAAGAUUGCCCAAACAUGUUCAAUGGCGAAUGAGAAAACAUGUUAUGAUAAAGACAGUGUCAAUUCUCUGCUUGAGAAAUUGGAGAGAUCUGGAGAUUGAAAUUUGAAGAAGAACAAGAAGCUGAUUCGUCUAGUAUGGUAACUCGCAAGAAUUGUGGACUCAAAAGUCUGCUUACAUCACAGAUUUCAAGAUGUUCA